GCGGCCCCCGGGAGCGGCCCCCGGGAGCGGCACCGCCGCGGGGCUCCCGGGCGGCGCAGGAUGGCCCCGGGCUGGGGCACGGCUCGGUGACCGCUCCGGGCACGGGGCAUCAAACCUCAGCGUCUGAGGGCUGGACUCCUCGGCAGUGCUCUCCUCCUCCUCACACGGGCCGGGUGGGAGCCUGGAUGCACAGGGAACAAAAGUGCCCUGAGCUCACAGACACUUUCACCUUGAGGAUCCCAUAAGAAAACAAUUCUGGGGAUGGAGAGGUAAGAACACAUCUCAGGAGGUCCUGCUGUUCUCAGACCUGUCCCCUCAGACAGUCCCACAGAGAGAAACAUCAAAGCAGGAAGCAAGUUUCAUCCUGCAGAGGGAAGCACCUGUGCCAGAGGCGUGCUCGGGAAUGAUCAGACUGUUACAGGAGCUGCUUCUAUAGCCCCUAAAGAAGUCACCAGGAGCUUCCUCUGUUCAUGCUGUGGGGUGGAGACUUUUCCCAUGCUGCCCAGUUACACGGACAGGAAUGAGAGUAAACAAACACUACAUCAACAUGCCGGUGACAGACUCCAUGGAAAAAGGACCAGCAUGAAGGAAAAGCUUUAAAACAGUGGAACACAAAAGGAAACAGAGGAUGAAUCGCCUCGGCCUCACCAUGCAGUCUACCUCCAAGCAUUCUUAAUUGACAUCUUCCCUGCUACAGUUUAAAUGGAUUACACUUUGAUCUAUCCACCUUCAAGAACUGCACAAUAAUUGAGUUGAACACAAAGCACAAUAAUUUCCUCUUUUCUUCCCAUAAAUGUUUGCAUAUUUGUUGAAGUUUGUUACACCUUCUUAGUUACUUUCUCUGGGUUAAAUUACACCACUCAAUCUUCCCAAGUAGAUUAUGUUUUCUAGACCACUGGCUGUUUUUGUUCUUAUCCUUUGGACAGUUUCUUAUUGAUCAGCUAUUUCUGGGGAUUAGUCUCUUGUUCUGCUGUCACAACAAGCCAAAUAAGGUAACAGUUGGUCGUGGAAAUGAGUUAUGUUGAUGAAAGAGAGAGGUUUGAUGCUCACUGGAAUUGGUGGAGGCUCGCAGGAAAGUUAAUACCAGUUUGGUCCAACAGAUCCAUUUUUUCAAAGAUGGGGUUUUAAUUCUGUAUCAAUACUUUCUGUCAAGACCCCAACAUAUGCUCACCAUGAAGUACAUGAGUAAUGCAUUAAAGUUAAUGAAACACAAUAUGUAGAUUCAAACUUAUGCCUUCAUUUUACAGAAACAGGAACUGCCUACAACAUACCUACAAAACAUCCCCAAAAUACUGCUUAAUAUUUCCAAUAUUUUAGUAUUAAUUUUUGUCCUAGUUCUACUUAUACAUUAAUAAAAUUAAAUUAUAUUCCCUUUUGAUAUCUUCUCUUUUUAAAUUACAUGACACCUAAUCCUCAUUUAUACCAGGACUGCUUUUGGCUUGCUCUUAAUAAUAGCAUGUAAAUUAGAUACAAUAAAACAUACUCCCACCUAAACAUUCCUCUGCUCUCUCAUAGUGAUGUAACAUAGCAUUAGUGUAAAUGAAUCAUGGACCUCAACUUUGUAGUUCCAUUUGGAUUUUUUAAGCUUGAGGUCUUAGCAUGAUGCAAAAGCAGGUACAGUUGUAUUUCCAGUAAGCUGUUAUUAUAUUCAUAAUGCUGUAACAUACAUUUUCAAAAAAUAGUAAUGUAGGUUUUUCAGUGCAUAAUUUGGUGGCUUUGGGAAUAUUUGAAGAGGGAAUGUGAUGGACCUGGAUUCUGAAAUAUACCUUAAUCCUACUUGCUAAUUAUUGUUGGGCCAUCUGGAGUGCUCUGCAGUCACUUUAUGAGAGUUCUCUCUUGACCCAUCCCGCACUUUCCAUCAGCUCAGUAUGGACACAGCAUUAUUCUGUUUUCUCAUGCUGUGAGGGGUUAGGUGAGGCAAAGACUCACACACCAGAGUCUUAUCCUAUCUCCUAAAUCUUCUUUUGUCCACCUGAAGUCUCCUAAUUGUAACAGUGAAGAACAUAAUGGGAAGAGUAUUGACUUGCUUAAUUUCAAACAGGCUAUGUGAAUUAUCUUUACAAUAACUACAUGUUUCAAUAAUUUAUAACUAUGAUGCUAUACCUGACAAAAUGAUUCACAUAACUAGAGCAAUGUGCACUUUAAGUUUAAAGUCAAGGUCUUCCUUGCUCAUUUUAAUGACUUCUCUUGUGCACGAGAUAUUAAUAUUCCUGUGAGCAAACAUAACACUGACUCAUUAAUCAAUAGGGGCUGGCUCCUCUACAUAAUAACAAUAGCCGUACUAGAUAAUUAACUUUUGUUCCAUUUGCUUUAGUUUGUACAUAAUUUCCAGUGGCUGACACUGGAUAAUAAAAAGCUUUCCAGAUGACAGACACCUUUUAAAAUCCUUUUUACUAGUUUUGGAGAAUGAUCCACACCUACUGAUAUAAGUAAAAUACAAUGUAGGUAUCUGUGUGUGUCCAUGCCAUACUUAAAAGGAGGCAACUGACAAUAAAUAAAAGAUCUAAUAAAUAUU